GACGAACGCUGGCGGCGUGCUUAACACAUGCAAGUCGAACGGAAAGGCCCUGCUUUUGUGGGGUGCUCGAGUGGCGAACGGGUGAGUAACACGUGAGUAACCUGCCCUUGACUUUGGGAUAACUUCAGGAAACUGGGGCUAAUACCGGAUAGGAGCUCCUGCUGCAUGGUGGGGGUUGGAAAGUUUCGGCGGUUGGGGAUGGACUCGCGGCUUAUCAGCUUGUUGGUGGGGUAGUGGCUUACCAAGGCUUUGACGGGUAGCCGGCCUGAGAGGGUGACAGGCCACAUUGGGACUGAGAUACGGCCCAGACUCAUACGGGAGGCAGCGGUGGGGAAUAUUGCACAAUGGGCGGAAGCCUGAUGCAGCAACGCCGCGUGCGGGAUAACGGCCUUCGGGUUGUAAACCGCUUUCGCCUGUGACGAAGCGUGAGUGACGGUAAUGGGUAAAGAAGCACCGGCUAACUACGUG
rnacentral:rRNA from 1 species